CGUGGCUCGGUACUUAUACAUCUCGUCAAUGUGUUUGUAUUGGCUUUCAUUUUUUGGUGAUUUGUUUUGUAUAUGUGACUCUUUGUAUUUCUUUUGUGCUUAUAACGUGACUCUGUACUUUAAAAGAUCCCGUCAGUAUGACAUUUGUCUAUAAUAUGUCAUUAUGAUAUAUUUCUAUUAUGAAUUACUAUAUACGUUGAACCACAAACGUCAAAAUCAAUCAAUGGCGUAGUGGAUUAACAAUUUUU
rnacentral:lncRNA from 1 species